AUUGAACGCUGGCGGCAGGCCUAACACAUGCAAGUCGAACGAGUGGCGGACGGGUGAGUAAUGUCUGGGACACUGCCUGAUGGAGGGGGAUCACUCCUGGAAACGUUAGCUCAUACCCAUUACCAUCAAAUUUCCCCAGAUGGGAUUGGCUAGUUGGUGGGGUAACGGCUCACCAAGUCGACGAUCCCUAGCUGGUUGGAGAGGAUGACCAGCCACACUGGAACUGAGACACGGUCCAGGCUCCUACGGGAGGCAGAAGUGGGGAAUAUUGAACAAUGGGCGCAAGCCUGAUGCAGCCAUGCCGCGUGUAUGAAGAAGGCCUUCGGGUUGUAAAGUACUUUCAGCGGGGAGGCGUUACCCGCAGAAGAAGCACCGGGUAACUCCGUGCCAGCAGCCGCGGUAAUUC
rnacentral:rRNA from 1 species